ensembl:lncRNA
UUAUGGGUGCUGCUGAGGCUGCUGGGGACUCCCUCUCACCCGCUGCUUUCUGUGCCCAAAUAGGAAGGGAGGCCGACAAGACGCCGUUACAGAAGAUACCGGGAGAAUCACAGAGGUGAGCAGCCCUGGACAAGGGCAGGUGCCCUGGAAAGAUACCGCCUGGCCCCAUGUGCCAGCUGCCCUACCAGGGUCUCCCAGUCCACUGACUGUCUGUCUUCUCUGCCAACAGUUCGGGAUGCCCAUGACUCUUCAAAGCCCUCAAAGAAACCGUAAGUGGAACCAUUCACUCUGGAGUGUGACAGCCUUCUCUGGUCAACCCCACGAAAUGAGGUCCCGCUAAUGCUGUGCUUUGCCUCUUCACAGAUGUCCCAAACACCCGGAGCUGGAUGGUGUGCCUAGACUAACCCAACAGUUCAACACAAUCCUCGAGGACCUCAACAGAUACAUUGAAAUGUACAGCUUUGAGAUUACUGAGUGCACUGAUGACUCCCUCAAUCCCAUCAGUACAACGGAAACCAGCUCCUCUUCAGGGAUGUCUCUGUCCACUGGGAGAAGGAACUCCUGCACUUCUGUCGUCAAAAUGAAAGCCCACCGCUCUUCGAAGACCUCUCCAUCAUCCUGUAGCAAUGUAUCCAUCACUUCUGUUUUGGACAUGGAUCCCUGCUGCUCUUCAAGGGCCUCCUUUUCCACUUGGAGUGACAACUCCCUUGCUGCCAUUGUGGCAACAAACACCAGUUGCUCUUCAAAGGCCCCACUGAUCCCAUACAAGGACGACUCCCACACUUACACCAGGAUGAGUGAAGGUGCUUCACAGCUGUCACUCACAACUCUUCUGAACGGAGCAGACAUGGUUCAAGCUUCCACAGUCCAGCCUUGUCUGCUUCCCAGUACUGUCCCAGAGGAGCAGCAUGACAUGGGCACACAUCCACCCUGCACAGAAGAGAUGGCCAGCUGCCACAGGGCCUACAGAGUGAAGCAGCAACAGAAAGAACUCCAGGACCAGCAGGGUGCUCCCACCCUACCUCCACUGGUGCCUGAUUCCCAGUCCAGGGAAACGGAGGUGCAACAGAAAGAACUUCAGGACCAGCAGGGUGCUCCCACCCCACCUCCACUGGUGCCUGAUUUCCAGUCCGUGGAAACGGAGGUGCAAGAGAAACAAGUCCAGGACCAGCAGGGUGCUCCCACCCCACCUCCACUGGUGCCUGACUCCCAGUCCAGGAAAACAGAGGUGCCUUUCCCACAUCAAGAAACCCAGGAGACCGUGCACUGCCUUGCCCCAAGAAGGAAAGAAGAGGUGAAACUGGAGCUGCCGACUGAUGGGGUGUGUUCUUGGCAGGAUAGCCCAGCCUCAGUUCCUCAAAUGUCUCAGAGACAACCAAAGCCUGAUGUGGUAGUGGUUCCCAUUGUGAAGGACAUACCAUUCCUGGAUGAGGCUGUAAAAAGGCAGCUGGAGCGUCACAUUAUAAAAAAGCAGAUACAGCGGCGCUUUGGACUGCCAGCAAAGGUCCUGGCCUAUGAGAAGGACUUUUUAGAACCUAUCCUGGAGCAACAAGAAUCCCAGCCCCCAUCUUCGCAGAUACGCACUGGGCAGCCCUACCGGUCACCCUUCCAGCAGUGGGACAGGCGCACCACAAAGUCAGCAGUGCGACCCCCUGGCCUGCAGCAAGAGUCCGCAGCCCAGAAGAAUACAUGCACACGAGGGACACAGACACCAGACCAGUCUGUGCCAGCAGCUAUUCCAAGAGUGGCACAAAGGAUGCCUCAGGAGGAUGGGAAGAGACCACAUUGGAAAAGGGAGUCUGGAGGAACAGCCAGAAGCAGCAGCAUGACCAGCAAGAAGACUUUGCCUUGCACCAAGAAGGAUCAGGGCUCUGGGACACAAAGUGACGGUCAAGGUACUUCCCCUUCCAUCCAGGAAGAGCAGGCACCGCCACUGAGCGAGGGAGCUCCCCAGGGGCAUUCAGGACAGGACUGUGUGAACCACAUCAUCUCCACUGAGACACAAGAAUUGCAACUGGAGAAGAAUGUUCCCACGGGAGAAGCAGAGCACUCCCAGGAAGGCCAGGGCUGCAUCAGUGGGGAUGUGUGGUCACCUGAGCUGCCAUCCAACAGGACAUCUUCUCCAAGAAGUAGUUCCCCACAGACACAGCGCUGCUCUUAUGAGACACCCUCAGCUCUGCCAGUGCCUCCAGACUCUGCUGGGACCAGUACUCAGAUCCCCUACCUGGAAGAGCUGCUCACAACACUUGUGGACUGCUUCAUGGCCAGAACAGCUGCUGAAAACCUGGAGAACCAGCUGCUGGCUUUAUGGCUGGAGCAGAAUUCAAGCACGGAGCAUGCAGCAGAGCACCCCGUUGCCUCACCACAUAGAAGACCAAAAGAAUCACAGAAGAGCAAGAGGCACACCCAGGAUGGAUCUGGCUCCAGGAGACGCUGCCCCAAGUGCAGCAGAUCCCCGCACUACAACCUGCCUGGCAGCGAUGGCUCCCAGCCUUCAGCUCCAUCUGAGGCUGCAACCCCAGGUGCAGGAAGGGACAGGACACCAGGAGAGAGGCAUCCACCCAAGGAAAGAGCCAAGAGGAAGCAGGGCCAGAAGGUGACUGCUGCUGCCACCCGGAAGCAGGAGGGGAUCCGUGUGUACAAAGAGGUGAUACUGAUCCCUCCAGUUGAGCAGGAGAGGCUUCCAUCCCAGCAAGCCCCUGCCUGGACCCUGCCAUCAGGAACACGGAGGCUCCCCAGACGUGUAGCAGCCAGACACAGGAAUCCGAGGACAGAGACACCACCUCUGCCAGGCACCUUCUGCUGCGUGCUCACCCCCAUCUGCUUUUGCCUUCAGUGUGCCUGGGCCAUGCUCCGAGAUGCAGGCAAGGCCCUACUUGCCCGCAUCAAGAAGUGAGGUGAGGAGCCUCACAAAAAGAGAACCAAUGCUGGAAAGCAGAGUCUCACCAUGGGAUUAGGGGAUUGCUUGGACUUCCUGCAGAAAUGGAAAGCUGCAACCAUCCCUGCCUGGAGUCACCAGGGAGCAGCAGCUCUCCCAAUAAGCAUGUCUUUCCAAGCAACCUCUUGUGCGUUUCUUCUUUCCUUUGGAUGAGCAGAGGCACCAUUCCUUGCUCACUACUUGUACCUGCUUGAAUGGGCAAGAUGGGCAGCUCUGUUAGCACCUUUUGGAGGAGAGGCCAGGACUAGGAUGGCGCUCCAGGUGCCUGAGAGCAGGGACAUAGGGCUGGCCUUCCACCUGAGGCCUUCAGAGGCAGUGCGGGCUGCCCCCCUCCGUGGAAGUCCCCUGCACACCACACCUACGGUUUAGGUCUGGGAACAGUGUAGGUCCUUCAGGACAACAAGUGGCAGAGAGAAAGCACUCUGUGUGUCUGCCAGGGACAGAAGACGGAGGCCCAGUGCCUGUUGUUCUGGCUGCACUAGGACAGGCAGAGCAGGAGACGGGCGCCUCUGUGGGCAGGACUUCUGCUUCUUGCUGUGGGAUGGGCUGGGCCCAUCUCCUCUGAACCCCUGCCUCUCCCAUUCAAGGAGGGUCGGGGUUGUAGCAUGGAGGUGGUGAUCUGAAGGUCCUGGGAGGUUGCUGGGAUGACAGCCCGGAGCUCUGGGACUCAGCAGCAGCUCUAGCUGCCCUAGCAUGUGCUGAGGUGAGCAAAAGGCCAAGGAGGAGGACAUGAGCAGGAUCCCCAAGCCAGAGGAAGAGAGCAGUGAGAGCUGACACAGGGGAACACCAGUGAAAAGCUCUUGCAAGUCCCUCUUGCAAGUGCUCUUGCAAAGUCUUGCAUUUCCACACUUGCAUUUCACUAAGUGUGGAAAUAUUUAUGACCUUCACUUCCCUAUGCCAAACCAUUAAUUUGGUGCUUAAAAUUGAGUUCUCUAAGCUUAGUAACGCAUCCCUGUGAAAGUAGUCAGUGACCAGUGGCCCGGUUUUUAUUUCAGUCCAGGAGUUUUUUCACUGUUGUCCUUCACAUUAUCUCCCUGGUACCACUAGGAGUAAGGGUAAGGGAGGUGAGCUGACUGAGGGGGUUCCUGUCUGCCCAGCCACAGCGAGCCCUCCCCACCUUAAUUCCCAUUUCAGCAAAGGACCGCUGAGUGGCCAUACUCUUGGGAGCAGUGCUCCUCCUGGCUGGGGUGCUCCCUUGGGCAUUCACCAUUGUCACUGUGUCACCAUGGUUGCUUCGCUGGAUGCAUGAUGGCCAUGAAGAAGUUCAUGGUCUCUCAGAAGGGGGAGCACAGCUCAUGGGGGUUGAAAUCCCAUGACCAGGGGUUCAACCCUACCUAGUGAGAGGCCAGGGGCUUUGAAGGGCCCUGCGCAGGGCCAGCUCUCGGCACUGGGGUGGGCUGGCCAUGGCCCUGCUGCACUGAGCUGGCCCAGCUGGGCUGGCUGCUGCCUGGUGCUCGGGUGAAGGUCACCUCCUGGGGUUUAGCUCAGCUCAGGGAGGGCCACCUCAUCCCCGCUGUCCCUGCAUCACAAACGUUGCCAUGGCUGCGCGCUGCUGACAUCACAGCUGGUGAGGGAUGACAGCCCCGAGUCCACGCGCAUCACAAUCGGGGGCGGUUUAUGUAAGUGGGGCUGUGCAAGGCUGGCUGCCAUUUUGCCACGAGCUGACGAGCGAAGAGGGACAAGCUUGAGCUGGGAAGGUGGAGCAAGGGGACCUUGAGUGCGGUCCAGCUGAUCCUUUUCAAGCCAGCCAAGUUUGGCUCUCUGUGGCACGUCACAGGCAUGGCUGAUGCCUGGGGAAUGAGCUUCUACCCCAGCCCAGAAGCCUCCUUCUCAUUAUACUCCUUCCUGUGGCUGCUGCUGAUGGCAUUUGCCUGCUACUUCUUGAUACCCAGGGCAAAGCCGCAGGUAGGAGUCAGGGCUGGUGCUGAGGCAGGCCCUGCCUGGGAGGGGAGGCCGUGUCGCAGCCGGGCCUGGCCAGCCUGGGCCAGGAGGCUUGGGGCAGGCACAGGCCUGGCCCUGGCCAUGCCUUGGGUUUAUGGGUGCUGCUGAGGCUGCUGGGGACUCCCUCUUACCCGCUGCUUUCUGUGCACUUUUGUAGUGGGUUUACGUGGCAAGGUUUUGGUUAAGUGGGGGCAUAAGGUUGGCUUCUGUGAGAAGAGUCUAGAAGCUUCUCCAUGUUAGAUAAGGGGACCCUGCUGGCCUGAGCCAAGCCAAUGAGCAAUGUUGUUUUUGCUCUGUGAGAGCAGAUGGAAGAAAUGGGGGAAAAAAAAAAUCCUGCUGCUCUACAGCAGCUGAGAGAGAAAGGAGUGAGAAACAGCUGUUCAGUGAGGUCGGUGACCACAGGAAACCCAACAAUGUCUAUUAAGUCUGAUCUACUUUUCAUUAAAAUCAGUGACACUGAGAUUCACAAACAUUUCCCUAAGUUGUCUCAGUGGUAUGUUGGGAGAAAUGAGCACUUUCAGAGAGUUAUUCACCAAUAAGUGAGUCAUACUCUGAAAAAACUUUUUUUUUUCUAUUUUUUUUAUUUUUUCAUAGUUUCAUGAACAAGCUCCAUAAUAUAGAUUAGACUGUUGAUUUUAGGUGUUAAAAUUCAUUGAGAUUAGUCUUGGAGACUUUUUCUGGCAAUGAAAUCUAAGAUGAAACUAAUGGGUAUUCUUCAGACUUACGAAGGCCAACCUGUUGAUCUCCAUUUUCAAAGCUAGGUUUCUAUUUAACAUCUUUGCUUGAUAAGGCACAGUGGUCUGCAAACCUUUUAUAGAUUGAUAAAGAAUGGCACGGGAUUUUCAGCUCCCACUUUUUUUUUUUUUUUUUUUUUUUCCUGUGGCUAUGGUGAUCUUUGGUAGUUUCUCCUUUCCCUUGUUGCUGAGAAAUGCAAUAUGUAAAAAAGUUCAUUUUGAAAUGAAUUUUGAAAUUCAUUUGAAAACAGUAAACAGUUUUUCUACCCCUCAUGAUGGUAUAAGAGAUGCUUUAAAAAAGAAACCAUGAAUAGGUAGUAAAAUUGUGAUAUUUUAAUGUUUCUGUAGAGUUGAAUUAUUAUAGUCACAUCAUAGCUUGAAUGUUCUGAAAAACACUCUCAAAAUAAAUGCAUAUUCUCAUAAUACAAUCUAUUAGUGAACUUUAAAGUGAACUUUAAUUGCUGAACUAUUUGUCAAGGAAAAAAAUAACUAAAUGUCAGAAACAUUCCUAAUUUUUGUACAGGACUCCAAGAAAAUAUCUUUCCAAUAUUCUUUGUACCAACAUUGAGUAGGGUUUCACAGAAAAUAUAAAGGUUUGUGUGAACUUGCUGUUAGAGGCUGUGAACUACCUUCCAGCUCCUUCAGUAUCGGUUAGAAAAUAAAAAAAUAACUCUAGAUGAAAGAUUAGAACAGUAUGUUGAUGUCUUAUUAUUUCAAAUAUCAUAGCAGACUUUCUAGCUAUGUGAGAAAAAAUAAAUUAUCUGAACUGUGUAUGAAUAUGUUGACCAUCUACUUCAAAUUCUGCUAUGUAAAUCAGCCACAUGAUUGGAUUUCUUUAGGUUUAAUUUUGUUACCUCAAAAUUUGUGUAUGCAUGAGCAUACAUUUAUGUAUCUAUCUACCUUUGUGCAUAUGCAGGAUGUAUAAUUUCUAUUAAUACUGGUAUAUCAUAAAAUUUCAGAAAGAGUAUUCUCUAUUACUUGCAUCUGUGGAGUCACAAACAAUUUUUCCAAUUCUUGACUGACAUCUUAGUGAAGAACCAUCUCCUGAUAUCCACUCUGAACUUCUCCUGAUGCAGCUUGAAACCAUUUCCUAGCAUCCUAUCACUGGCCACUAGAGAGAAGAGAUCUGCACCUCCCUUUCUGCUCCUUGUCAUGUGGGAGUUGUAUACAGUAAUCAGGUCAUCUCUCAGUCUCUAUCUGAGCUGAACAAAGUCUCCUCAGCUGCUCCUCAUAUGUCAUGCCCUCUAUUCCUUUCACCACCUUUGUUGCUCUCUUUUGAACACAUUGUAAUAUUUUUAUAUCCUUCUUACAUAGUGGAGCCCAAAACUUCACACAGUACUCAAGGGGAGGCUGUGCUAGUGCCGAGUAUAGUGGGACAAUGACAAUUUAGAUAGACUGUUUAAUGCACCCCAUGAUGCUGUUGUCGGUUUUGGCUAUUAGGGCACAUCUUUGUCUCAUACAGAGCUUGCCAUCAACCAAAUCCCCCAGAUCCUUCUGUGUAUGGCUACAUUCCAGCCACUUGUCCCUCAGCCUAUAUGUACAUCCAGCAUUACACUGUCCCAGGUACAUAAUCUGGCUUUUGCUGUUUUUAAUUUUCAUGUGGUUGGUAAUUGCCCUGAGCUCAAAUCCAUCAAGAUUUUUCUGCAAGGUCUCUCUAUCCUCAAGGGAAUCAAUAGCUGCUCCUAAUUUAGUAUUGUCUGUAAACUUACUUAAUGUGUACUCAACACUUGCGUCCAGGUCAUUGUAAAAAACACUGAAGAAAACUGAACCUAAAAUUGAGCUCUGGGGAACUAGCAGCCAGCCUGAUGUUACCCCAUUUAUUACAACUCUUUGGGUCCAACCCUUUAGCCAGUUGUUCUCCCCCAGUAUUGUGUACAGGUCUGCCUGCAGGCUGGACAGCUUGGCCUGAAGGAUACCGUGAGAGGCAGUAUCAAAAGCUUUACUGAAAUCCAAAGAAACCACAUCCAUUGCCUUCCCUUUGUCCACUAUAACUUUGUAAUAAAAAGAUAGUAAG